GGUUCCUUCCUAGGUUCCUCCUCUAGGUUCCUCCUCUAGGUUCCUCCUCUAGGUUCCUUCCUAGGUUCCUCCUCUAGGUUCCUUCCUAGGUUCCUCCUCUAGGUUCCUCCUCUAGGUUCCUCCUCUAGGUUCCUUCCUAGGUUCCUCCUCUAGGUUCCUCCUCUAGGUUCCUCCUCUAGGUUCCUCCUCUAGGUUCCUCCUCUAGGUUCCUUCCUAGGUUCCUUCCUAGGUUCCUCCUCUAGGUUCCUCCUCUAGGUUCCUCCUCUAGGUUCCUCCUCUAGGCUCCUCCUCUAGGUUCCUCCUCUAGGUUCCUCCUCUAGGUUCCUCCUCUAGGUUCCUCCUCUAGGUUCCUUCCUAGGUUCCUUCCUAGGUUCCUCCUCUAGGUUCCUCCUCUAGGUUCCUCCUCUAGGCUCCUCCUCUAGGUUCCUCCUCUAGGUUCCUCCUCUAGGUUCCUUCCUAGGUUCCUCC